AUACGUAGGUGGCAAGCGUUGUCCGGAAUUAUUGGGCGUAAAGCGCGCGCAGGUGGUUCCUUAAGUCUGAUGUGAAAGCCCCCGGCUCAACCGGGGAGGGUCAUUGGAAACUGGGGAACUUAAGUGCAGAAGAGGAUAGUGGAAUUCCAAGUGUAGCGGUGAAAUGCGUAGAGAUUUGGAGGAACACCAGUGGCGAAGGCGACUGUCUGGUCUGUAACUGACACUGAGGCGCGAAAGCGUGGGGAGCAAACAGGAUUAGAUACCCUGGUAGUCCACGCCGUAAACGAUGAGUGCUAAGUGUUGGGGGGUUUCCGCCCCUCAGUGCUGCAGCUAACGCAUUAAGCACUCCGCCUGGGGAGUACGGUCGCAAGACUGAAACUCAAAGGAAUUGACGGGG
rnacentral:rRNA from 1 species